AUGGAGACGAAGACGACUCCGCUCCUGACUCCAUACAAGAUGGGCGACUUCAACCUGGCGCACAGGUCAGUUAAUUACUCGAUCGUUUCCUUAGAAUCUUGGGUCGCUGAAGUGACGCGGCCAUGGUCGGCAACGCAACGCAGGGUUGUUCUCGCGCCGCUGACGCGGUGCAGGUCGUACGGGAACCUCGCCCAGCCGCACAACGCGCUGUACUACGCGCAGAGGGCGGCGCCGGGCGUGCUCCUCGUCGCCGAGGCCUGCGCCGUCUCCGAGGCCGCGCGGGGCUACCCGCACGUCCCCGGCCUGUGGAGCCAGGAGCAGGUGGAGGCGUGGAAGCCGGUGGUCGACGCCGUGCACGGCAAGGGCGCCGUCUUCUUCUGCCAGCUAUGGCACACGGGCCGCGUUUCGCCCACCGAGUUCCAGCCUAAUGGGCAAGCUCCGGUGUCGAGCACGGAUAAGCAGGUGCCGCCUCAGGUCGCCCAUGACGGCAGUGUCCUGGAGUUCGCGCCCCCUCGAAGGUUGGCGACGGAGGAGAUACCCCACAUCGUCAACGACUUCCGGGUCGCCGCUAGGAACGCCAUGCGAGCCGGGUUCGACGGCGUGGAGAUCCACGCCGGCAACGGGUACCUGAUCGACCAGUUCAUGAAGGACGGCGUCAACGACCGGACCGACGAGUACGGCGGCGGCCUAGAGAACCGCUGCCGCUUCGCCGCGGAGGUCAUCGCGGCCGUGUGCCACGAGGCCGGCGCGGGCCGCGUUGGCGUGCGCCUCUCCCCGUUCGCCGACUACGUCGACUGCGUGGACUCCGACCCGGAGGCGCUCGCGCUGCACGUGAUCGGCGUCAUGAACGGGCUCGGCGUCCUCUACUGCCACAUGAUCGAGCCGCGGAUGUGCGUCAACGAGCGGAUGAUCCCGCGCCGCCUGCUGCCGUUCAGGAGGGCGUUCAGCGGCACCUUCAUGGUGAACGGGGCGUACGACCGGGAGGAAGGGGACAAGGCCGUCGCCGAUGGCUACGCCGAUCUUGUGGCGUACGGGCGGCUCUUCCUGGCCAACCCCGACUUGCCGGAGAGGUUCAAAAGGAACGCCGCUCUGAAUAAGUAUGACAGGAGCACGUUCUACACAUCCGACCCUGUUGUUGGCUACACCGAUUACCCUUUUCUUGAUCAGGAGGAUUAG
rnacentral:rRNA from 1 species